rnacentral:rRNA from 1 species
GACUCCUACGGGAGGCAGCAGUGGGGAAUAUUGCACAAUGGGUGGAAGCCUGAUGCAGCAACGCCGUGUGCGGGAUGACGGCCUUCGGGUUGUAAACCGCUUUCGCUCAUGACGAAGCUUUGUGUGACGGUAGUGGGUAAAGAAGCACCGGCUAACUACGUGCCAGCAGCCGCGGUGAUACGUAGGGUGCGAGCGUUGUCCGGAUUUAUUGGGCGUAAAGGGCUCGUAGGUGGUUGAUCGCGUCGGAAGUGUAAUCUUGGGGCUUAACCCUGAGCGUGCUUUUGAUACGGGUUGACUUGAGGAAGGUAGGGGAGAAUGGAAUUCCUGGUGGAGCGGUGGAAUGCGCAGAUAUCAGGAGGAACACCGGUGGCGAAGGCGGUUCUCUGGGCCUUUCCUGACGCUGAGGAGCGAAAGCGUGGGGAGCGAACAGGCUUAGAUACCCUGGUAGUCCACGCUGUAAACGGUGGGUACUAGGUGUGGGGU